GCAUAUCAAUAAGCGGAGGAAAAGAAACUAACAAGGAUUCCCCUAGUAACGGCGAGUGAAGCGGGAAGAGCUCAAAUUUGUAAUCUGGCACUUUCAGUGUCCGAGUUGUAAUCUCGAGAAGUAUUUUCCGCGCCGGACCGCAUACAAGUCUGUUGGAAUACAGCGUCAUAGUGGUGAGAACCCCGUAACUGAUGCGGAUGCCCGGUGCUUUGUGAUAUACUUUCGAAGAGUCGAGUUGUUUGGGAAUGCAGCUCAAAUUGGGUGGUAAAUUCCAUCUAAAGCUAAAUAUUGGAGCAAGACCGAUAGCGAACAAGUACCGUGAGGGAAAGAUGAAAAGCACUUUGGAAAGAGAGUUAACAGUACGUGAAAUUGUUGGAAGGGAAACGCUUGAAGUCAGACUUGCUAUUCGGAGUUCAGCCGCAAGGUGUAUUCUUCGAUUUGCAGGCCAGCAUCAGUUUUUGGGGGUGGAAAAUCGUGGUUUGAAGGUAGCAGUUUCGGCUGUGUUAUAGCUUUCCACUGGAUUCAUCUUCGGGGACUGAGGAACGCAGUACGCUUUUUGCAAGGCUUUCGAGCUUUUCGUACUUAGGAUGCUGGUGGAAUGGCUUUAAACGACCCGUCUUGAA
rnacentral:rRNA from 1 species